CCAGGCUGAAGGAGCAGGAAGGCGGAAGGAAGAGGCAGGCGGAGGAGGGGCCGAGUAUUCCAGGUAGAUGGAACAGCACGGCCAAAGGCCCGGAGGAUGUUUUGCCACGCGUAUGAGAUGUGCUACCACUGGAACCUAUUAGAGAAGUCUCAUCUCCUGGUGUGACAGACAAGAAGCUGUCGGGCCUCGGAGUGCAGACGCAGAGCAGGGCUUCGCUGUGUGCAAGGUGAGGACGCAGGUCUGGAGAGAAGAGAGACAUGCGCAAGGCCCCGGGGCUGGAACUUCAGGUGCCCCGUGCUCCCCUGCCCCCCAUCCCAACUCAGUUAUGUGGCCCAAGCCUUCUUCCUGGCCUGCACCCGCAGACACACCAGGUUUCUCCCAGGAGCCAGACGCCGGCCCCCCCACUGCAGAGGGCAGGCCCAGAGCCCGGGCCUGGUGCUCAGCCAGGGUCUGUGGGAACUAGCUGCGGGGCUGUGGAGAAGCCCUCACCACCUCGGGCCUCCGUUUUCCUCAUCUGAAAAUCAGGAGCACAACUGCCUACCUUCUGGUUCAGAUAAAACUUUGAAAGAGAUUUUUUAAAAA